rnacentral:rRNA from 1 species
UACGUAGGUGGCAAGCGUUGUCCGGAUUUACUGGGCGUAAAGAGCUCGUAGGCGGUUUGUUGCGUCGGCCGUGAAAACCUGCAGCUUAACUGUGGGCCUGCGGCCGAUACGGGCAGACUUGAGUUCGGUAGGGGAGACUGGAAUUCCUGGUGUAGCGGUGAAAUGCGCAGAUAUCAGGAGGAACACCAAUUGCGAAGGCAGCUCGCUGGGACGUUACUGACGCUGAGACGCGAAAGCGUGGGGAGCAAACAGG